GACGAACGCUGGCGGCGUGCUUAACACAUGCAAGUCGAGCGGAGCGGCGAACGGGUGAGUAACGCGUGAGUAACUGCCCCCCUCUAUAGGAUAACAGUUGGAAACGGCUGCUAAUACCAGAUAGUGGGGGGGGACUAGCGUCCUAUCAGCGUGUUGGUGGGGGAGUGGCAUACCACGGGGACGACGGGUAGCCGGCCUGAGAGGGCGACCGGCCACAUUGGGCUGAGAUAGGGCGCAGAGUCCGACGGGAGGCAUCAGGGGGGAAUAUUGUACAAUGGGGGAAACCGUGAUGCAGAAAAGCCGUGUGCGGGAUGUAGGCCGUCGGGGUGGAAACCGCUUUCAGCCAUGACGCGGUAGUGGCAGAAGAAGCACCGGCUAACUACGUGCCAGCAGCCGCGGUAAUUC
rnacentral:rRNA from 1 species